ACGCCACCUCAACUGAGGCACGUUCGGUAAGAUGUCUGAAGGGCCAGCGACGGAGAAGAGAUAUCCCGCUCCCGCUGGGGGACUUACCAGUUACAGCCAUUGCUGGCAACUUUCUGCUGAUCACAGGAUGCCCUUCUGACAGUGGGAACUACAGGGUGAACAGAGGUGGCACCUCUCACUAAUGUAACAAAGCAGUAGUAAUACAUCACUCUUGAGACUUGCUGCCUUUAUGUGCUUCUCUAAAUGAAGGGUGACUGGAAGAGAAUCUAAAGGAGAACAUCAAGAACAAGCAGAGAUUUUGGAAGUGUUUCCUAUGAGACUAGAGUACUGGGAAAGAACUGGGAAUUAUAUCUUCUAGAGCUGAUUGAGGGGAAAAUGGAACCCAUAUGUAGACAGUUACUGCAAAGAGGAUGUGGUGAUGGGAGAAGUGAUUGGUUUGCACUGCAGCAAGGGAGGUUUAGGUCAGGCACUGGAAAAUACUUUAAUGGUAAGGAUAAUAAAGCAUGGAAAGACAUCGCUACCAGAAGUGGUAAAACUUCUGUGAGAAAAUUUCUGUGACCAAUUAAGGAGAGUUGGCAAGAGAAAAUAGCCUUAAAUUGUCCUUGUGUAACACGUGACCAUAUAUGGGUAAAAAGUGUUAGGGUAUUUCAUCUCUAAAGACCACCAAGGACCCCCAAAGAGAGGGAGGCAUGCACAGAAGAAUCUGAAGCAGAGCCAAGAAGAGUGACUUAAUGCCAUUAUGCAACCUAUGUAGAUUAGAAUGAAUAUGUAUUAGAUAGGCAGAAUAUGUAUGGACAAAUCUGCUUUUCAGACACCAAAUUUUGGUGACCCAGAUGGGACAGCUGUGAAGCCUUGCCCGGAUCAUCUUGCCAGUUGUCGGUGGGGAAAAGCUGCUCUUUGGACUCCAAGCGCUCACCGACCUGUUGUUCAGAGGACUCCAUGAGUAAUCUCCCCAUCUAGAGUGAGUAAGCGACUCAAAGGUGCAACACAUGACAAAAAGACGUUGCAUGAAGCAAUAGGUAAAGAUAAAUGUUUAAGUCUUGUGCGUUUUUGGGUAGCGAUGACUGGAGUGCAUGAAGCAAUAGGUAAAGGUAAAACAGUAAAAGUGUUUUUUAAACUUUGUGUAUGGAUGGUGACAACUGGAGUGUGUGAAAGUGUGGUUGGUAAAAAUGUUCUUUUUGGAUAACAUUAUGGGAGCAGGACAAUCUGCGGAGGUUUCCCCUUGCUCCCCAUUAGGAUGCAUCUUGAAACAUUAGAAUAAGUAUGGUGGGGAUCCUCUAACAAAAAGGAAAUUAAAAGAAUAUUGUGCUCAAUGGUGGCCAAAGUAUAAAUUGGAGGAUGAGGAAAAAUGUCCAGAAAUGGGGUCUUUGAAUUAAAAUACAGUCUUACAACGUAUGUUGUUUUGCAACAGGCAGGAUAAAUGGGAUGAAAUCCCGUAUAUGGAUUUCUUUACUUUAAGAAAUUAUCAUGAAACAAGGAAGAAAUGUUAAUCGAUGAUAUCUGAUUUGAAUGUACUAAUGAUGAUGGAUGACAUGAAAAAAAAAAGCCUUCGUGGUGGUGUUCUGCUUGUAGCUUAGGAAAAAGAUGUUUAAAACUGGAAGAUGAGGCAAAUAAAAUGACUUUUACCACCUUGUUUGUAGGACAGUUGGCACCUGAUAUUAGGAGGAAAUUACACAAAGUAUAUGGAAUGUUGGGAAUGACCAUAUCUCAGUUAAUUGAAAUUGCAUAUAAAGUCUGUAAUAAUAGGAAGUUGAAAAGAAAGAAAGUGAAAAAGAAAAAUUAAAAGCUAGAAGACAAAAAGAAAUUUCUAGUUGACACAGGAGCAACCUACUCUGUAUUGAAUAGUUGCAAGGCACCCAUGAGUAAAUAUUAUAUGGCCAUGGUUGGCGCAAUGGGAAAGCAGGAGGUUAGACCCUUUUUCCAACUGACUAAAUGUAAAAUUGGCAACAAGAUGUUUGAACAUGAAUUUUUAUACAUGCCAGAAUGCCUGAUACCUCUAAGGGGAAGGGACUUGUUAAAUAAAUUAGGGGCGCAGAUAAGCUUUGACAAAAAUAAAAUAAGAGUCUAUAUCCCGCAAAAUAAUGCCUGGGAAGCACAAAUACAUAUAUUACAGGAAUUGCUUGAGACAGUGGAAGACAAGGAGAAGGAGGGACCAAGUAACCCGUUUUCAGAGAUAGAAAAUGCUGUAACCCCUUUUGUAUGGGCAACCAAGAGACCUGGAAGAGCCAAAUCGGCCAAACUGGUAAAAAUAUAAUUAAAGCAGGAAGAUAAACCGGUAAGAUGAAAACAAUAUCCCAUAAAAAUGGAGGCCUGUAUUGGACUGGAGCCUAUAACUAAUAACUUUCUAACUGUUACAAGAAUGUCAAUCAGGAUAUAGUAUUCCGAUUUUGCCUGUUAAAAAGCUCCAUUCACAGGAAUACUGUUUAGAAUGAAUAUGUAUUCUAUAAGCAGAAUAUGUAUGGACUUAUUGUAGAAAUAUAAUUAGGUAGCCGGCUUCAGUGUGCUUGAUUUGUGGAAAACCACCGAGCACCCAGCCUUGCACAACCCUGAAAUAAAUUAGCAAUGUCUCUCCUGAGUGUGUGAUUAUUGAUCAUUACAUACUGGGUGAUGAACCCGCCCAGUUCCAAUCCAACAGUUCCAAAAAGUAAAGUGAGCUUCUUCAGAGAAGCGUGAGUGUAUCUGCAGUUGAAUCCUGUUGCAAAAAUUAUUUCUGGAAAACUUGUAUGAAAAAUAAUCAAUCUUGGACUUUUGUUAAUUAGGGUUUGACCCUGAGACAUGCUGAGCACAAUAUUUAAUCAUCUAUUGUUUGUUAGUGCAAUUUACUGAGUUUGAAUAUUUUAACCUAUGAAUACCACCUGCCAAAUUCAAGGUUUUACAGCACUAGCAGUCAACAAACUCUGAAGAUGGAAUUGACAUAAAAUUGAUUUGUUCAUUAGCAGAUACUAGCAAAAUGACAAUUCAAAACCUAAAGGAGCAAUACCAGUGAACAUGCCUAUUUCCAAACAUAUCUGAAAGGAAUUAGUAGGGUGUGGUUUUUUUUCAGAACUGUGUAGUCAACCAUAUAGAUACAAGUUUUCCAGAAGCAUUAUGUUGGAAAACAACUUGAGGGACAGGCAUACUUUAGUAUAACUUUUAGUCAUACCGCUUUAAUUUCUGGUCUCAUCAGUUAAAAAGAUUCUGGGAAAGAUAAUACUUGUAUAGAAGUUCUGUAGAAAGCAGUGCUAUUCAUUCAGCAGCAAUACAUAGGAACAGUAUGACCAGUGUUCCUGCAUCAUGGUUUGAAUGACCUAAACACUGGAUGUUUUAUAAAAGGUGCCCUAAAGCUAAGAGACCUAGCAGUAUAUCAGUUAUUGAGGCAAUCUAAGCGAUUUUGCCACAUUAUAAUAGUUUCAUUCAGUAAGAGAACAAAGUGGGUGGUGUGUUUUUUCUCCUCCUGCUCCUUUUUAAUAACCUUAGGUGAAAGGCAACUGACUUCUGUUUAUUAGCAAGAAGGUAGUUGUACUAAUCUUCAGGGUUUUACUGCUGUAAGGUGCCCAGAUAGCUCUGUUUAAGAAGCUUAAUUACAGAAUAAAUAUUACUCUUCUAAUUAAAGUUGAGAAUCAGAGAUAAAGCAUUCAAUAUCUCUGAAAGUACUCAAAGAGACUACCUUACUCAUACUGUGUUAUGUUUCAACAUUCAGUCUUCCAUGGUACAAGGCUGUUAAUGAGGGCAUACACAAACUCUCAUUUUGGCAAGACAUAGGACAGUUAGCAGCAGGAAAGCAAAACAUUGUAACAUGUAUAGCUUCAUGUUAAUACCACAUCCUUACUCUGGAGUAAUAAAUAUCUGUGGAGAAAAGCCUCACAUAAAAAUAUGGACCACUUUGACUCAGGAUACUCAUACAAUAAUGAAAAUGCUCCCAAGUGCUACAAAAUUCCUUUAUUGGCCAUAGCUAGAAAUUUAGAAUCAGAUGCCAUAAUAGAUAAAAAUUCUGCUUAGUUCAAUAGGACAAAUGAUGUGACAAAAGUCUUCUACUUCACUGACAGAAUAGACAAGAAGCUAGAGAUAAGAAGUAAGACUAGUUAGAGGAGUUCUGAGGUGUGGAAUAAGUGAAUGUGCCUCCUGUGACAGCACCGGAGAUCUCAUCACCCUUGUUGGAUGCAAGCCGUGGGAUAGAUAAACAACCCAAAAAACCACAGAACUGAAACCUUGAUAUGCGGGACAGGAGUUCAGGGGCACAGCUGGAGCACCGAAGCAGGAGAGCGUGCUUAUCUAUGUUUAUACCAUAUAUGGAGCUAAUGUGAUAGAACAUAUUCAGAGGCGGAGAGAAGGGAAAAAUACUAGCUCAGGAAGCAGACUAUAUUAAGGCUGAUCUCUUGCUAAUAAAUGGCUUUGCUUGUCCAUGAAUACGGAGUCCAUGUUGUGAAUUACCACAAAUGGUGCCCCAUGUGAGGAGCGACAAAUCAACCUAAGAAGGUGAACCAGUGGCGAGCCCCACAGGACUGAAGUGCUGCCGAAAGGAAGCAGGAGCCGGCUGCAAUCCCUCAUCGACUGAGUGAUAUCAUAGUAGAAACCUCCCAAUCCAUGGAAGAUGAACUUUGAUGAAACAAGCAAAGUGCAACAGCGAUGCAACGAAGACUGACUUGGUAUGCAGCAACCCAAUGCCACACACACACCAUCUCUCCCGCCCUGAAAGACUAAUACGACAGAUGGAGCCCAGAG